UACGGAGGGUGCAAGCGUUAUCCGGAUUUACUGGGUUAAAGGGUGUGUAGGCGGGCUUUUAAGUCAGUGGAUGAAUCUCCGGGCUCAACCUGGAAACUGCCAUUGAUACUAUUAGUCUUGAAUAUUGUUGAGGUAGGCGGAAUAAGUCAUGUAGCGGUGAAAUGCAUAGAUAUGACUUAGAACACCGAUUGCGAAGGCAGCUUGCUAAACA
rnacentral:rRNA from 1 species